UGCAAAUUAGAAAAAGUUGCCCUUCUUCAUCUGCUUGAAAAUUGUCAUAAUAAUUUCCUUUUAUUAAAACCAGAUAUAUCAUUGUCAUCUGUUAGAUAGGUGUGUGUGUGUGUGUGUGUGUGUGUGUGUGUGUGUGCAAAUGCAA
rnacentral:sRNA from 1 species